rnacentral:misc_RNA from 1 species
GAACGCACAUUGCGCCCCUUGGUAUUCCAUGGGGCAUGCCUGUUCGAGCGUCAUUUGUACCUUCAAGCUCUGCUUGGUGUUGGGUGUUUGUCUCGCCUCUGCGUGUAGACUCGCCUUAAAACAAUUGGCAGCCGGCGUAUUGAUUUCGGAGCGCAGUACAUCUCGCGCUUUGCACUCAUAACGACGACGUCCAAAAAGUACUUUUUACACUCUUGACCUCAAAUCAGGUAGGACUACCCGCUGAACUUAAG